UGUACAUAGACCUGGGGGGCAGCCACUCUCACCAACUGGAACCACAGGAGAUCACCCCCCGGUUCUACCCAAGAGUUGGUAUCAUCCAUCAUUGACACCAAACACACUAUUGACACCAAGAUGGCCGCCAGUGAGGUCAGCAUAUUCCGAGGAUCUGUACCGGUGACCUCCACACAGAUGGAAAGCUCAGCAUCAGGACCACAGGAAGAGAUGGUGACUGAUGAAUCAACAGGGAGGACCAGGAGGAGGGCAGUGUUUGAGGGGGAGGAGGGGGAAGAAGAGGAGGAGGAGGAGGAAGAAGAAGAUGA